rnacentral:rRNA from 1 species
AAGUAAAAGUCGUAACAAGGUUUCCGUAGGUGAACCUGCGGAAGGAUCAUUAAUGAAACUUCAAAGUCGGCCAAAGGUUGUUGCUGGUGAUUAUUCACAUGUGCACRCCUUUGGUCGCAAAUCCACACACACCUGUGCAUCUAUGACUCGAGGUUGUAAUGACUGAGAGUAACUUUUAUACACUCUUGUAUGUAAUGGAAUGUCUUUUUGUGCUAUAAUGUACAAUAUAAACAACUUUCAACAACGGAUCUCUUGGCUCUCGCAUCGAUGAAGAACGCAGCGAAAUGCGAUAAGUAAUGUGAAUUGCAGAAUUCAGUGAAUCAUCGAAUCUUUGAACGCACCUUGCACCCUUUGGUAUUCCGAAGGGUACGCCCGUUUGAGUGUCAUUGUAAUCUCACUUCUACAACUUUAUUGUUGUUUGAAUGUGGACUUGGAUGUUGCCGUUUUAUCACGGCUCGUCUUAAAUGCCUGAGUGUACCCUGUUUUGCAGCGUAUCCAGUGUAAUAAACAUUUCACUAGAGUUGGUYGAAAGACCRCGUUGACUAUAUGGGCUCUAUGCUUCAAACCGUCUGCCAUGUGGACAAUUUCUUGACAAUUUGACCUCAAAUCGGGUGGGACUACCCGCUGAACUUAAGCAUAUCAAUAAGCGGAGGAAAAGAAACUAACAAGGAUUCCCCUAGUAACGGCGAGUGAAGAGGGAAAAGCUCAAAUUUUAAAUCUGGUGUCUUUGACUCCCGAGUUGUAAUCUAGAGAAGUGUUUUCCGUGUCGGACCGUGUACAAGUUCCCUGGAACGGGGCGUCAUAGAGGGUGAGAAUCCCGUAUAUGCCAYGGACUACCGAUGCUCUGUGAUACACUCUCAACGAGUCGAGUUGUUUGGGAAUGCAGCUCAAAAUGGGUGGUAAAUUCCAUCUAAAGCUAAAUAUUGGCGAGAGACCGAUAGCGAACAAGUACCGUGAGGGAAAGAUGAAAAGCACUUUGGAAAGAGAGUGAAACAGUACGUGAAAUUGUUGAAAGGGAAGCGUUUGAAGUCAGUCGCAUCUGUUGGGGUUCAGCCUGGCUUUUGCCUGGUGUAUUUCCUUUCCGAUGGGUCAGCAUCAGUUUYGACCGAGGGAAAAAGACAUUUGGAAUGUGGCUGUCUUCGGGCAGUGUUAUAGCCUUGUGUUGUAUGUCUCGGUUGGGACUGAGGAUUGCAGCGCGCCAUAAAUGGCCGGGGGUCGCUCCUCUCGACACGCGCUUAGGAUGCUGGCAUAAUGGCUUUAAGCGACCCGUCUU